GCACACCCGCGCACGUGCGUACCGCAUGGUACUAUACACUCACGCGGCCAUUUUACCUGAUUCAAACGUUGUCACCUCUCACUCACGAAAUUGCCUGUUCCAAUUCAUCUUUCUGCGCUCGUAUUCCUCGAUAGCUCUUUGCAGAUCAAUCAGAGCACAUGGCCCACCCCAACGACAUCUACAAACUGUAGGCCUAACGUGACACAUCACCAAAGUUCGAGGCCCAUUCAGCGGCAAUCUGCAGAGACACCCCAAGAAAGCUCAAGUGCUUCAAAUGAGACGAUUUUUGGUCUACUGGAAACGGCACUUCAAAAAUUAGACCGUCAUGAGCAGCUGCUCCUGGAAAUUGCAAGGAGGCAGGCGGGGGCAGGGCCAGUACAAGCUGACUCGGAAGAAAAUGAUGCUGUGGAUCUUCCACGCUUGCCAUGUGAGUCACGGAGGAUCUCCAGGAGCUUAACACACUCCUGGAGAAUUCUGGAGCUGCCCGCAAAAAACUGAUCAGGAUCAUCAGCCUUGUAGGAGGUACUGGAGCCAUAGUGGUCAAUAAUACUUUGAAAUCCAUUGUGGGACACAAUGUCAGUAAGACAUUUAACAUGAUCGGGACGAAGGGAAAGGAGUCGUUUGCGGCUCUGCAAAGCAUCAACUCCGUUAUCAAAAAGGGUGUCCGUGCUAACCGUGGCAUGAAAGAGAAGACGGACAAGGACAUUGUGUCAUGGUGUGGACGAUGGUUCACGAACGCGAGAGAUCGCAAAGGAGACCGGCUGGCCAGGAGGCUGGCGAAGCCGCAAAUUGCAGAAGAUGUGCUACCUGUAGAAGAUGUGCUACUUGUAGAAGAGGAGAUUGUGGGAGCAGAUUCCCACUGAACAAAGAUUUAGAAAUGAAGUUUAUAAAGAAAGAGUAUAAAUUUCUCUACAGAUUGGAGCUAAAAUGAUAUAAUUGGAUAAGAAAUUUAAAAAAAUUUCAGGCAUUUUGAAAUUUUACAUAUUUCCAUGUCAUAACUAAUUAUUUUGAUCCAGUUUUCAUAACUUUUGCUCCAAAAUGGUAGACAUGUUUUAACUAUUACUUUUAUGAGUAUGUAAAAUCUGGACUGGGCAUGUUUUUAAGUGCCUUUCCUAUUUGAAUAAAAAAAAAACAUGAAAUGGCAAAACCUUUUUGUUCAUGUCCAUCUCCUACUUUUAGUGUAAUCUUAUUUUUAGAAAAAAAAAUAACAAUUUUCAAACUUGCCUAAAAAAAAUGUACUUGCCACAAAAUAGUGCCUAUGAUUUUCGGUGCUUCACAUUUUACUCGAGAGUAAACUAUUACUUGCCAAGUAACAAAAAAAGGAAAAGAAAAAAAAUUUUCACUUCUUGCCCAAAGAAUUAAGUGGGCAAUUAUUGAGAACUGAGAUAAAUGAUUUUCAACAAAUUACAGUACUGCCAUUCCAUUCUUGCUCUAUUUGUUUUGCAAUAUUUACAGGGUAUUUUUAUUACCAAAAAUUUCAUGAAAUUAGGCUAAACAACUCAUGUUGCCAGAAUUCCAUCACAGCUCGAUCUUAUUUUCAUUGUAAGACAGAUUUUGGAGCUAAAAGUAUAUA